rnacentral:rRNA from 1 species
AGAGUUUGAUCCUGGCUCAGAUUGAACGCUGGCGGCAUGCCUUACACAUGCAAGUCGAACGGCAGCACGGGGGCAACCCUGGUGGCGAGUGGCGAACGGGUGAGUAAUAUAUCGGAACGUGCCCUGGAGUGGGGGAUAACUAGUCGAAAGAUUAGCUAAUACCGCAUACGAUCUACGGAUGAAAGUGGGGGACCCGCAAGGGCCUCAUGCUCCUGGAGCGGCCGAUAUCUGAUUAGCUAGUUGGUGAGGUAAAGGCUCACCAAGGCAUCGAUCAGUAGCUGGUCUGAGAGGACGACCAGCCACACUGGGACUGAGACACGGCCCAGACUCCUACGGGAGGCAGCAGUGGGGAAUUUUGGACAAUGGGCGCAAGCCUGAUCUAGCAAUGCCGCGUGAGUGAAGAAGGCCUUCGGGUUGUAAAGCUCUUUUGUCAGGGAAGAAACGGUGAGGGCGAAUACCCUUUGCUAAUGACGGUACCUGAAGAAUAAGCACCGGCUAACUACGUGCCAGCAGCCGCGGUAAUACGUAG